UUACAAGUACCUCACUCAUCUAGAUAGCUAACAACAUCCAAGUACAAUGCUUUGUCACAAUAUAGACGGUCAGGCAGUGCAUUUUGUAGCAAAAGCCCUCCCUUGUUCAUAUGAGGGAUUUUGUACCAAUUUCCACCCCUUAAUCUCAUAACUUGUAUCAUGCAUGAUUGAAGAGUAAGAAAAAUUCGGUUUAUCUUUUCAACUUCAUACUUGUUGAACUCAGCAAUGACACCUUCAAUAAGCUGAUCAAUUGUGGUAGGAUUCAGCUGAUCCGUGAAAGAUUGCAAAGAUCUAAGAAAUCCCAGAUCAAGAAUAUUCAUGUCAGGUGAGUUUGGAGGCUGUUGUAGAAUCCGAAUAUCACGUCCAGUAAUGGAAAUGGCAUUUAGCAAUGCCUCAUCAUCUGGCUUAACAUGGGAUGGUGCAUUGUCCCGCUGAAUGUAAAUAGUUUUCCCUUCGUCUGGCCAUCGUUCAUGAAUAGCGGGUAUUACUUUGUUGACCAUGAAUUCUCUCAUUCGAUCUCUGUUUACCUUCAUGUUCUUUUUGACCAUGGUACCUCUCGGUCUAUUGCCACUUCUCCUUUUUGCUGGUUCCUGUUUUAACAACAAAUAAACACAAACAAGAAAAGUAAAGAACAUAUUUUUGCUCAACAAAUUUAAAAGGUCAAGUAUAGGAUAGUUACCUCAGUUACCAUUGCCCAACAACAAAUUUUCCCAUCAAAUAUCAGAUUCCCUUCAUCAUCAUAUCUAGGCCGAGCAAUAGCUACUAAGAACAUAACUUUGCCUAUGUAGUUUUUGUUUUGAAUAGUUCGGACUGGUUCUUCUUCUUCUGGCAUCAAGUAGUAAGUUCUCUUGUUUUUAGUCAUGUUAAACCAUUUUUCAUCUAGAUGUACAAUAUCCUCCAUAUCAACAAACCGCGGUUCGUUGUGUAUAGUGUUUUGAUCAACCAUCCUUACACAAAACCGCAAUCUUUGUUUCUUGUUACUAUCUUUCAAAACUGGUUUCAAACUACUUGAAAUUCGCCGCAAGUACCCUUGCUUAAACCUCAUAAACAGAGUGGUCUUGCUCAUAUGAAUUGCAUGACAUAGUGCACUCAAUGUCUGCCUUUUUCUUUUUGGAGUGGACUGUACUUGCGCAAGCGGAGCUACAAUUCUCUUGCGCCCACAAUUCUUGCUUUUCUUGUGAGUAACAUCCACCUCUCUUCCUUCUUUUAUGCAAUCAUUUACUAAUCUCCAAACUGAUUGAACUUGCCUUCUACUGUGUCCAAGUUUGCUUGCUACAUCAGCGGUGCUAGUUUUCUUUAGUCUACCAGAGUUACUGUCUUUCAGUAACUCUUGAUAAACUUCCCACCUUUGCUUGUUUGUCAGCAUCUUCCUAUUUUUCCUCUUCGGACGACGACCACCAACAGGAGCAAGAGGUACUUGUGGUGUUGUGUUUCUCUGUUGAGCUUCUGCAAGGUCAAUAUCGCUUCUCUUGCUGAGAAAAACCGCAAGCUGACAUAGGGUUGUUGCAGAACGCAUUCGACUAUCUCCAUCGGUAAAACAACCAGUUCCUGAUGCUGCAAGAAUAACUUGAAGGUCACGCGCCUGAUUGACCAGUGGGCGUCUGGUUCUUCAGCUGCAAUAAUAAAGGCUCUUCCCAACCUCCUUCAUCAUCUGGUGGUGGUGACGAGUUCAAGUCCAGAACCAUGGUGCUGCUAUGUGUAGAUGGGACUGUGUGGCUGUUGGUGAUGAGUUCCAGUCCGGGAGUACUUAUAGAAGAUGACUGCUCAGCUCCUUGUGUAAUUUGAAUAGGUUUUGCCGCUAUAGUUCAAUUUUUUUGGUGAUCAUAGUGUGUUGUAAAAAAGGAGGUAAAUUUACUAGUAAUACUGUUUUCUGUUGUAAAAUGGAG